rnacentral:ncRNA from 2 species
UAAUAUUGCAGGUUCAAAGAUUAUAUAAACUCGUAAUACGGACGGGUGUAUCUACAAACUGCCUUAAACUGUUUAACUAUAAUCCCCGAGUAGGGGCAU